CCUGGCUCAGGGUUAACGCUGGCGGCGUGCGUAACACAUGCAAGUCGAACGGGCCAUUACUCUUUGGAGUGAUGGUUAGUGGCGAACGGGUGAGUAAAAGGUAGGGACCUACCCCGAGGACAGAGAUAGCUACUGGAAACGGUAGGUAAACUCUGAUAAGCCCGAGAGGGGAAAGUGGAAGGCAGCCUUGGGAUGGACCUACUAUCCAUCAGGUAGUUGGUGAGGUAAAGGCUCACCAAGCCGAUGACGGAUAACCGGUGUGAGAGCAUGUACGGUCACAAGGGCACUGAGACACGGGCCCUACUCCUACGGGAGGCAGCAGUGGGGAAUAUUGGACAAUGGGCGAAAGCCUGAUCCAGCGACGCCGCGUGAAGGAAGAAGUCCUUCGGGAUGUAAACUUCUGAACUAAUCGAAUAAAAGGGUAGUGGACACACUACAGAAGAAGGUAGAUUAGGAAAAGUCCCGGCUAACUACGUGCCAGCAGCCGCGGUAAGACGUAGGGGGCGAGCGUUGCCCGGAAUCACUGGGUGUAAAGGGGACGUAGGCGGAUGAUCAAGUCAUCUGUGAAAAGAUUGCUCAACGAUUGGCUUGCGGAUGAAACUGGUCAUCUUGGGCGUAGCAGAGGUAGACGGAAUUACCUGAGUAGGGGUGAAAUCCGCAGAUACAGGUAAGAACGCCGGUGAAGAAGUUGGUCUACUAGGCUACAGCUGACGCUGAGGUCCGAAAGCCAGGGGAGCGAACCGGAUUAGAUACCCGGGUAGUCCUGGCUGUAAACGAUGCUCACUAGGUGUAGGGAGCGAAAGACUCUCUGUGCUGAAGCUAACGCGAUAAGUGAGCCACCUGGGGAGUACGUCCGCAAGGAUGAAACUCAAAGGAAUUGACGGGGGUCCGCACAAGCGGUGGAGCAUGUGGUUUAAUUCGAAGCUAACCGAAGAACCUUACCAGGGAUUGACAUGUAACUGAAGGUAGAGAAAUCUACUGGCCUGCCGUGAGGUAGGAGGUUACACAGGUGGUGCACGGUCGUCGUCAGCUCGUGCCGUGAGGUGUUGGGUUAAGUCCCACAACGAGCGCAACCCCUACAAUUAGUUACCAGCAAGUAAAGUUGGGGACACUAAUUGGACAGCCGCCGACGAGGCGGAGGAAGGAGGGGAUGACGUCAGAUAAGCGUGCCCCUUAUACUCUGGGCGACACACGUGCUACAAUGGGGAGGACAAAGGGAAGCGAAGCCGAGAGGUGGAGCGGAUCCGAAAAAACUCUCCGUAAUAUGGAUUGUAGGCUGAAACUCGCCUACAUGAAGCUGGAAUCGCUAGUAAUCGCAGGUCAGCCAAACUGCGGUGAAUACGUUCCCGGGCCUUGUACACACCGCCCGUCACGCCACCCGAGUUGGGAACACCUGAAGGCAGUACGGAAGGUACUGUUGAAGGUGGGCUUGGCGAGGGGGGCGAAGUCGUAACAAGGUAGGUGUACCGGAAGUGCGGCUGG
rnacentral:rRNA from 1 species